rnacentral:rRNA from 1 species
AGUGAACGCUGGCGGUAGGCCUAACACAUGCAAGUCGAACGGCAGCACAGUAAGAGCUUGCUCUUACGGGUGGCGAGUGGCGGACGGGUGAGGAAUAUAUCGGAAUCUACUUUUUCGUGGGGGAUAACGUAGGGAAACUUACGCUAAUACCGCAUACGACCUACGGGUGAAAGCAGGGGAUCUUCGGACCUUGCGCGAUUGAAUGAGCCGAUGUCGGAUUAGCUGGUUGGCGGGGUAAAGGCCCACCAAGGCGACGAUCCGUAGCUGGUGUGAGAGGAUGGUCAGCCACAUGGGAACGGAGACACGGUCCAGACUCCUACGGGAGGCAGCAGUGGGGAAUAGUGGACAAUGGGCGCAAGCCUGAUCCAGCCAUACCGCGUGGGUGAAGAAGGCCUUCGGGUUGUAAAGCCCUUUUGUUGGGAAAGAAAAGCAGCAGGUUAAUACCCCGCUGUUCUGACGGUACCCAAAGAAUAAGCACCGGCUAACUUCGUG